UUUUUUAUAAGUUAUACCCGAUCGGUUUUAAUGAAUUUGAUCCCCAACCUUCUCCGUGCUUUGGCAGCGGAAGAGAUAAUGACUCUUUCAAACGGUCAACGACGGCCUCUGAUUGAAAUCCACCACUUGAUUCGGCUCGCAGGUCUAGGAUUUGCAUACAGAGAAAGUGAGAUGCGGUGACGACUAGUGGUUGAUGGAAAGGACCGUAACGGGCAUAGGAUGAAGACGGUGAUGACUGCUUGUUUGCUGGCUUGUGAGGGUUUGACGUGAG
rnacentral:lncRNA from 1 species